rnacentral:rRNA from 1 species
AGAACGAACGCUGGCGGCAGGCUUAACACAUGCAAGUCGAACGCGUGUAGCAAUACACGAGUGGCGCACGGGUGAGUAACGCGUGGAUAUCUGCCUUUUGGUUCGGAAUAACCCCGGGAAACUGGGGCUAAUACCGGAUGGUUCCUACGGGAUAAAGAUUUAUCGCCAAAAAGAUGAGUCCGCGUACGAUUAGCUAGUUGGUGAGGUAAUGGCUCACCAAGGCGACGAUCGUUAGCUGGUCUGAGAGGACGAUCAGCCACACUGGGACUGAGACACGGCCCAGACUCCUACGGGAGGCAGCAGUGGGGAAUAUUGGACAAUGGGGGCAACCCUGAUCCAGCCAUGCCGCGUGAGUGAUGAAGGCCUUCGGGUUGUAAAGCUCUUUUGGCGGGACGAUGAUGACGGUACCGCAGAAUAACGCCCGGCUAACUUCGCGCCAGCAGCCGC